UCCAGACUCCUACGGGAGGCAGCAGUGGGGAAUAUUGCACAAUGGGGGGAACCCUGAUGCAGCGACGCCGCGUGGGUGAAGGAGCACCUCGGUGCGUAAAGCCCUAUCGGCAGGGAAGAAACAGACGGUACCUGACUAAGAAGCCCCGGCUAACUACGUGCCAGCAGCCGCGGUAAUAUGUAGGGAGCGAGCGUUGUCCGGAAUUACUGGGUGUAAAGGGAGCGUAGGCGGGGAUGCAAGUUGGGUGUUAAAUCUACCGGCUCAACUGGUAGUCGCACUCAAAACUGCAGCUCUUGAGUGAAGUAGAGGCAGGCGGAAUUCCUAGUGUAGCGGUGAAAUGCGUAGAUAUUAGGAGGAACACCAGUGGCGAAGGCGGCCUGCUGGGCGUUUACUGACGCUGAGGCUCGAAAGUGUGGGGAGCAAACAGGAUUAGAUACCCCGGUAGCG
rnacentral:rRNA from 1 species